UACGUAGGGACCGAGCGUUGUCCGGAUUCAUUGGGCGUAAAGAGCUCGUAGGCGGCUAUUCAAGUCGAACGUGAAAUCUCGGAGCUCAACUCCGAAACUGCGUUCGAUACUGGGUAGCUAGAGUCUGGUAGGGGGAUCUGGAAUUCCUGGUGUAGCGGUGGAAUGCGCAGAUAUCAGGAGGAACACCGGUGGCGAAGGCGGGUCUCUGGGCCGAUACUGACGCUGAGGAGCGAAAGCGUGGGGAGCGAACAGG
rnacentral:rRNA from 1 species